CCCAAACCCCUGUGAACAUACCUUUAUGUUGCCUCGGCGGAUCAGCCCGCGCCCCGUAAAACGGGACGGCCCGCCGCAGGAAACCCUAAACUCUGUUUUUAGUGGAACUUCUGAGUAUAAAAAACAAAUAAAUCAAAACUUUCAACAACGGAUCUCUUGGUUCUGGCAUCGAUGAAGAACGCAGCAAAAUGCGAUAAGUAAUGUGAAUUGCAGAAUUCAGUGAAUCAUCGAAUCUUUGAACGCACAUUGCGCCCGCCAGUAUUCUGGCGGGCAUGCCUGUUCGAGCGUCAUUUCAACCCUCAAGCCCAGCUUGGUGUUGGGAUCUGUCCUUACCGACAGUCCCCAAAUUGAUUGGCGGUCACGUCGAGCUUCCAUAGCGUAGUAAUUUACACAUCGUUACUGGUAAUCGUCGCGGCCACGCCGUUAAACCCCAACUUCUGAAUGUUGACCUCGGAUCAGGUAGGAAUACCCGCUGAACUUAAGCAUAUCAAUAAGCGGAGGAAAAGAAACCAACAGGGAUUGCCCUAGUAACGGCGAGUGAAGCGGCAACAGCUCAAAUUUGAAAUCUGGCUCUCGGGCCCGAGUUGUAAUUUGUAGAGGAUGACUUUGAUGCGGUGCCUUCCGAGUUCCCUGGAACGGGACGCCAUAGAGGGUGAGAGCCCCGUCUGGUUGGAUGCCAAAUCUCUGUAAGUCUCCUUCGACGAGUCGAGUAGUUUGGGAAUGCUGCUCUAAAUGGGAGGUAUAUGUCUUCUAAAGCUAAAUACCGGCCAGAGACCGAUAGCGCACAAGUAGAGUGAUCGAAAGAUGAAAAGCACUUUGAAAAGAGAGUUAAAAAGUACGUGAAAUUGUUGAAAGGGAAGCGUUUAUGACCAGACUUGGGCUUGGUUAAUCAUCUGGGGUUCUCCCCAGUGCACUUUUCCAGUCCAGGCCAGCAUCAGUUUUCGCCGGGGGAUAAAGACUUCGGGAAUGUGGCUCCCCUCGGGGAGUGUUAUAGCCCGUUGUGUAAUACCCUGGCGGGGAC
rnacentral:rRNA from 1 species